rnacentral:rRNA from 1 species
GGGCAACCUACCUGUAAGACUGGGAUAACUUCGGGAAACCGGAGCUAAUACCGGAUGACAAUAAGGAACUCCUGUUCCUUAUUUGAAAGAUGGCCUCGGCUAUCACUUACAGAUGGGCCCGCGGCGCAUUAGCUAGUUGGUGAGGUAACGGCUCACCAAGGCGACGAUGCGUAGCCGACCUGAGAGGGUGAUCGGCCACACUGGGACUGAGACACGGCCCAGACUCCUACGGGAGGCAGCAGUAGGGAAUCUUCCGCAAUGGACGAAAGUCUGACGGAGCAACGCCGCGUGAGCGAUGAAGGCCUUCGGGUCGUAAAGCUCUGUUGUUAGGGAAGAACAAGUGCUAGUUGAAUAAGCUGGCACCUUGACGGUACCUAACCAGAAAGCCACGGCUAACUACGUGCCAGCAGCCGCGGUAAUACGUAGGUGGCAAGCGUUGUCCGGAAUUAUUGGGCGUAAAGCGCGCGCAGGCGGUUUCUUAAGUCUGAUGUGAAAGCCCCCGGCUCAACC